ensembl:lncRNA
CGCAUUCAUCCUGUGUCCCAUUACACACUUGUGCUCUUUAUCCGCUCAAAACGCUAUACAGCGAACGAGAAGGCGCUAGGAGCAAAGGAAAGUGGUUUUUCUAACAAACUCAUAUAAUCAGUUGCCCGACCUACUCCAAUUUGAUUUUUUUCACAUAGUUAGACAUAAUAUAGUACUAUGAAAUGUUUCUGACCCAAAAUAUUACGAAAUAUGAUUGUUUACAUUAAAAUGCAAAAGUUGAUGAAAAAGUAUGAUAAGGUGAAAAAAGUGACAUUUUAUGUCUAGAAAGUCAGUUUUCAUCAAAAGUACCAUAACAAAACUAGUUCGCAUUCAUCCUGUGUCUCUUACACACUUGUGCUCUUUAUCCGCUCAAAACGCUAUAGAGCGAACGAGAAGGCGCUAGGAGCAAAGGAAAGUGGUUUUUCUAACAAACUCAUAUAAUCAGUUGCCCGACCUACUCCAAUUUGAUUUUUUCACAUAGUUAGACAUAGUAUAGUACUAUGAAAUGUUUCUGACCCAAAAUAUUACGAAAUAUGAUUGUUUACAUUAAAAUGCAAAAGUUGA